rnacentral:rRNA from 1 species
AAUGAACGCUGGCGGCAGGCCUAACACAUGCAAGUCGAACGGAUCCUUCGGGAUUAGUGGCGGACGGGUGAGUAACGCGUGGGAACAUACCCUUCGGUACGGAAUAGCCUCGGGAAACUGGGAGUAAUACCGUAUGUGGUCGAGAGACGAAAGAUUUAUCGCCAAAGGAUUGGCCCGCGUUGGAUUAGGUAGUCGGUGGGGUAAUGGCCUACCAAGCCGACGAUCCAUAGCUGGUUUGAGAGGAUGAUCAGCCACACUGGGACUGAGACACGGCCCAGACUCCUACGGGAGGCAGCAGUGGGGAAUCUUAGACAAUGGGGGAAACCCUGAUCUAGCCAUGCCGCGUGAUCGAUGAAGGCCUUAGGGUUGUAAAGAUCUUUCAGGUGGGAAGAUAAUGACUGUACCACCAGAAGAAGCCCCGGCUAACUCCGUGCCAGCCGCCGCGGUAAGAC